UUGGUUUGAAUGGAUAAAGUUUCCUGCUAAGCAGCUCAUAAUUUUUUUUUUCAUCCCUGUUUGCCUGGCAGAUGAACUUGGAGCCAAACAAAGAAGAAAGAAACCUGAAAUAUUGCAGUUGUGACUGGCAGGGUCAAUUACACUGUCUUGAUAUGAAGAACUGAGAAAGUUCCAUGAAAAAAAGAUAUGGGUCUGAGAAGGUGUACAUGACAGAAGUGACGUAUUUGGGCAAGAUGCUUCAUCAAUAGUGCCAGUGGCAUCAGCCAUCCUGUGGGAGAUUGACAGUACUGCAGGAGAUAAAAAGACCUGUGCAGCUGAAGGCACAGUCCAGUCCAGACUGCUCAUGCAUACAGCUUUGCAUGAUAUAUGCCUCUGGGAUGAGAAAAGACAGAGCCAUGGAAGCUGUACCAUCCUUAGGAACCCCAGGAAUUAAGCUGAAUCAGCAAAAUUUAAGUAGGAAUCCAAACCUCCUGCAGUAGUUCGUAAUCUAAUCUUUGAAUCAGGUUUACACUGUGUAGGCACAAUUUGAUGGCAUCUGUUUACAGAAACAAAACUUGUUUGCUGGCUCUUCUUUACCUUCCUCCCUUGUCAGGCUAAGUGCUUCCAUAGCAUUAGCCUGGUGCAGUGACCAGUGCCUUUCUCUUCUGCCGGGAGGAAGAUUUUUGUGUGUGCUCUCCAUGUACAUGUUUGGGUCGCUGGCUGUAAAGGGAAAGAACACCAAAUAUCUGCAUGCUUAUAAACAGUGAUUCUUCACUUCUCUUGUUUUCCAUCUCCCUGAGUCUUUCCUUGUAUGAAGAUGGGAAGCCACCAUCUUCCAAGCAACUUGCCAGCAAGUCCCAUUCUCAAAGGCUUGAGUUGACUGGUGUCAGUAGGGUAAGCAGUUCACCUCCCCCACCCCCUUGUAUAUAUUAGUCUGCAUUUAGCAGAACUGGAGUUCAUUUUUCACCUUGCCGUCUACCAGAAGGCCCAGGGCUGGAGUAUUUUUCCUUUUUGUUUCCAUCCUGUGUUGGUAUAAGGAUGCCACUACCAGCAGCUAUUGAAGAGGUGCUGUGGCUUCCUCCCCACCUUCAAGUCCCUUCUCAUGUAAGCACAUUAGCAGGUUUUAAGAGAUAAA
rnacentral:lncRNA from 1 species